rnacentral:rRNA from 1 species
CAGCAGGCGCGCAAAUUACCCACUCCCAGCACGGGGAGGUAGUGACGAAAAAUAACAAUACGGGACUCUUUUGAGACCCCGUAAUUGGAAUGAGUACACUCUAAAUCCUUUAACGAGGAUCCAUUGGAGAGCAAGUCUGGUGCCAGCAGUCGCGGUAAUUCCAGCUCCAAUAGCGUAUAUUAAAGUUGUUGCGGUUAAAAAGCUCGUAGUUGGAUCUCAGCUCCGGCCGGACGGUCCGCCUACCGGUGGUCACUGUUCGCUGCCGAGCGUUCAGGGGGCUCUCGCCGAUGAUCUUCACCGGUUGUCUGCGGGGACCCUCACGUUUACUUUGAAAAAAUUAGAGUGCUCAAAGCAGGCGCGACGCCUGAAUAAUUGUGCAUGGAAUAAUGGAAUAGGACCUCGGUUCUAUUUUGUUGGUUUUCGGAACACGAGGUAAUGAUUAAGAGGGACAGACGGGGGCAUUCGUAUUGCGACGCUAGAGGUGAAAUUCUUGGACCGUCGCAAGACGAACUACUGCGAAAGCAUUUGCCAAGAAUGUUUCCAUUAAUCAAGAACGAAAGUUAGAGGUUCGAAGGCGAUCAGAUACCGCCCUAGUUCUAACCAUAAACGAUGCCAGCCAGCGAUCCGGCUGCGUUCCUCAAAUGACGCGCCGGGCAGCUUCCGGGAAACCAAAGCUUUUGGGUUCCGGGGGAAGUAUGGUUGCAAAGCUGAAACUUAAAGGAAUUGACGGAAGGGCACCACCAGAAAUGGAGCCUGCGGCUUAAUUUGACUCAACACGGGAAAACUUACCCGGCCCGGACACAGGAAGGAUUGACAGAUUAAGAGCUCUUUCUUGAUUCUGUGGGUGGUGGUGCAUGGCCGUUCUUAGUUGGUG